GUAUUGAUGAAGAGUCCCAAACUAGGACGAAGAAACGGCUGUCCAGUAC
rnacentral:hammerhead_ribozyme from 1 species